CCUACGGGUGGCAGCAGUGGGGAAUAUUGCACAACGGGCGCAAGCCUGAUGCAGCCAUGCCGCGUGUGUGAAGAAGGCCUUCGGGUUGUAAAGCACUUUCAGCGGGGAGGAAGGCGGUGAGGUUAAUAACCUCAUCGAUUGACGUUACCCGCAGAAGAAGCACCGGCUAACUCUGUGCCAGCAGCCGCGGUAAUACGGAGGGUGCAAGCGUUAAUCGGAAUUACUGGGCGUAAAGCGCACGCAGGCGGUCUGUCAAGUCGGAUGUGAAAUCCCCGGGCUCAACCUGGGAACUGCAUUCGAAACUGGCAGGCUAGAGUCUUGUAGAGGGGGGUAGAAUUCCAGGUGUAGCGGUGAAAUGCGUAGAGAUCUGGAGGAAUACCGGUGGCGAAGGCGGCCCCCUGGACAAAGACUGACGCUCAGGUGCGAAAGCGUGGGGAGCAAACAGGAUUAGAUACCCCGGUAGUC
rnacentral:rRNA from 1 species